rnacentral:rRNA from 1 species
UGAACGGCCACAUUGGGACUGAGACACGGCCCAGACUCCUACGGGAGGCAGCAGUGGGGAAUAUUGCACAAUGGGGGAAACCCUGAUGCAGCGACGCCGCGUGGAGGAAGAAGGUCUUCGGAUUGUAAACUCCUGUUGUUGAGGAAGAUAAUGACGGUACUCAACAAGGAAGUGACGGCUAACUACGUGCCAGCAGCCGCGGUAAAACGUAGGUCACAAGCGUUGUCCGGAAUUACUGGGUGUAAAGGGAGCGCAGGCGGGAGAACAAGUUGGAAGUGAAAUCCAUGGGCUCAACCCAUGAACUGCUUUCAAAACUGUUUUUCUUGAGUAGUGCAGAGGUAGGCGGAAUUCCCGGUGUAGCGGUGGAAUGCGUAGAUAUCGGGAGGAACACCAGUGGCGAAGGCGGCCUACUGGGCACCAACUGACGCUGAGGCUCGAAAGUGUGGGUAGCAAACAGGAUUAGAUACCCUGGUAGUCCACACCGUAAACGAUGAUUACUAGGUGUUGGAGGAUUGACCCCUUCAGUGCCGCAGUUAACACAAUAAGUAAUCCACCUGGGGAGUACGACCGCAAGGUUGAAACUCAAAGGAAUUGACGGGGGCCCGCACAAGCAGUGGAGUAUGUGGUUUAAUUCGACGCAACGCGAAGAACCUUACCAAGUCUUGACAUCCCUUGACGAACAUAGAAAUAUGUUUUCUCUUCGGAGCAAGGAGACAGGUGGUGCAUGGUUGUCGUCAGCUCGUGUCGUGAGAUGUUGGGUUAAGUCCCGCAACGAGCGCAACCCUU